rnacentral:rRNA from 1 species
AACGAACGCUGGCGGCAGACUUAACACAUGCAAGUCGAACGCAUCCUUCAGGGUGAGUGGUAGACGGGUGAGUAACGCGUGGGAACGUGCCCUUCAGUUCGGGAUAACCCAGGGAAACUUGGGCUAAUACCGGAUACGUGCGAGAGCAGAAAGAUUUAUCGCUGAAGGAUCGGCCCGCGUCUGAUUAGCUAGUUGGUGGGGUAAUGGCCCACCAAGGCGACGAUCAGUAGCUGGUCUGAGAGGAUGAUCAGCCACAUUGGGACUGAGACACGGCCGAAACUCCUACGGGAGGCAGCAGUGGGGAAUAUUGGACAAUGGGCGCAAGCCUGAUCCAGCCAUGCCGCGUGAGUGAUGAAGGCCUCAGGGUUGUAAAGCUCUUUCGUCCGGGACGAUAAUGACGGUACCGGAAGAAGAAGCCCCGGCUAACUUCGUGCCAGCCGCCGCGGUAA